UACGUAGGUGACAAGCGUUGUCCGGAUUUACUGGGCGUAAAGAGCGCGCAGGCGGUCGUUCAAGUCGAGUGUGAAAGCCCCCGGCUCAACUGGGGAGGGUCACUCGAUACUGAUCGACUCGAAGGCAGGAGAGGGAAGUGGAAUUCCCGGUGUAGUGGUGAAAUGCGUAGAUAUCGGGAGGAACACCGGUGGCGAAGGCGGCCCCCUGGUUGGAUACUGACGCUGAGACGCGAAAGCGUGGGGAGCAAACAGG
rnacentral:rRNA from 1 species